UACGGAAGGCAGCAGUGGGGAAUAUUGCACAAUGGGCGAAAGCCUGAUGUAGCUAUGCCGCGUGUAUGAAGAAGGCCUUAGGGUUGUAAAGUACUUUCAUCGGGGAGGAAAAAACAAAACUAAUAAUUUUAUUUCUUGACGUUACCCGAAAAAGAAGCACCGGCUAACUCCGUGCCAGCAGCCGCGGUAAUACGGAGGGUGCUAGCGUUAAUCAGAAUUACUGGGCGUAAAGAGCACGUAGGUGGUUUUUUUAAGUCAGAUGUGAAAUCCCUGGGCUUAACCUAGGAACUGCAUUUUGAAACUGAAAUACUAGAGUAUCGUAGAGGGAGGUAGAAUUCUAGGUGUAGCGGUGAAAUGCGUAGAUAUCUGGAGGAAUACCUGUGGCGAAAGCGGCCUCCUAAACGAAUACUGACACUGAGGGUGCGAAAGCGUGGGGAGCAAACAGGGAUUAGAUACC
rnacentral:rRNA from 1 species